AGAUCGAGCAGGAGCAACUGGAUAAGAUCUGGCCCAAGCUGAGGGUCCUGGCGCGAUCGUCCCCCACUGACAAACACACCCUGGUGAAAGGCAUCAUCGACAGCAGCAUCGGGGAGCAGCGGCAGGUCGUGGCCGUGACAGGGGACGGCACCAAUGACGGGCCAGCGCUGAAGAAGGCCGACGUCGGCUUUGCUAUGGGCAUCGCGGGCACCGACGUCGCCAAGGAGGCCUCGGACAUCAUCCUGACCGACGACAACUUCUCCAGCAUCGUCAAGGCGGUGAUGUGGGGCCGCAACGUGUACGACAGCAUCUCCAAGUUCCUGCAGUUCCAGCUCACCGUCAACGUGGUGGCCGUGGUGGUGGCGUUCACCGGCGCCUGCAUCACCCAGGUG